rnacentral:rRNA from 1 species
UCCGUAGGGUGCCAGCGUUGUCCGGAUUUAUUGGGCGUAAAGAGCGUGUAGGCGGCCUGAAAGGUCAGCUGUGAAAACUCGAGGCUCAACCUCGAGACGUCGGUUGAAACCAUCUGGCUAGAGUCCGGAAGAGGAGUGUGGAAUUCCCAGUGUAGAGGUGAAAUUCGUAGAUAUCGGGAAGAACACCGGUGGCGAAGGCGGCAAGCUGGUCCUUGACUGAAGCUGAGGCGCGAAAGCGUGGGGAGCAAACAGG